rnacentral:rRNA from 1 species
GAUGAACGCUGGCGGCGUGCCUAAUACAUGCAAGUCGAGCGAACAGAUGAGAAGCUUGCUUCUCUGAUGUUAGCGGCGGACGGGUGAGUAACACGUGGGUAACCUACCUAUAAGACUGGGAUAACUCCGGGAAACCGGGGCUAAUACCGGAUAAUAUUUUGAACCGCAUGGUUCAAUAGUGAAAGACGGUUUCGGCUGUCACUUAUAGAUGGACCCGCGCCGUAUUAGCUAGUUGGUAAGGUAACGGCUUACCAAGGCGACGAUACGUAGCCGACCUGAGAGGGUGAACGGCCGCACUGGAACUGAGACACGGUCCAGACUACGACGGGAGGCAGCAGUAGGGAAUCUUCCGCAAUGGGCGAAAGCCUGACGGAGCAACGCGGCGUGAGUGAUGAAGGUCUUCGGAUCGGAAAACUCUGUUGUUAGGGAAGAACAAAUUUGUUAGUAACUGAACAAGUCUUGACGGUACCUAACCAGAAAGCCACGGCUAACUACGUGCCAGCCGCCGCCGUAA